rnacentral:tRNA from 1 species
GCUGGCGUAACUCAGGGGUAGAGUAGCUGAUUUGUAAUCAGCUUGUCGGGGGUUCGAAUCCCUCCGCCAGCU